AUGCCUUAAACUGAUGAGUAAGGAAAAUAACAACAUGGGGUGACGCCCAUGUUCUUACUAACAGUAAGAUGAAUUUUUAGAUGGGCAAAGGUCUACCAACUGUUGAGACACUCACCUACUUUGUGAGAUAUCCAGUUGGAUAAUGAUCUGCCCU